UUUCCGUAGGUGAACCUGCGGAAGGAUCAUUAUUGUAUAACCGAGGUGCGAGGGCUGUCGCUGACCCGCAUGGUCGUGCACGCCCGAGUGCCCUCACACACAUCCAUCUCACCCCUAUGUGCACCACCGCGUGGGUCCCCCUUUGGCUUGUUCGGAGGGGGGCUUACGUUUUCACACAAACUUUGUAUGCAGUGUAGAAUGUAUUUUUUGUUUUUGCGAUCACGCAAUCAAUACAACUUUCAACAACGGAUCUCUUGGCUCUC
rnacentral:misc_RNA from 1 species